AAAAAAGCAGUAAACCGGCAAGUUUGCCCAAAGUGGUGGGAGCUGCUGAAGCCUCUCUCGGUAGCUCUUCCCUGACGCUGCAGCAGUAGAGCCGCCUGCGCUACACACACACAGAAAGAGAGAGAGAGAGAGAGAAAGAGAGAGAAAGAGAGAGCGAGCGAGCGAGGGAGGGAGGGAGGGAGGAGGGAGGACGAGUCAAGCGCUGCACUCCAGAAAGCCCAGCCUUACCCUCUGUCUCUGCUGCUGCUCUUGCUGCAAGUGGGAUAGCUGCUCAUCACAAAACACCAGUUCAGUCCUCAGCACCGAUCCUCAUUACACGCCAGAGUGUUGCUGCUGUUGCCAUCCCUAAGCCGUGAUCGGCAGAGCUGGUGCACGUUCGGAGCUCUGUAUUUUGCGGAAUCACACUGAGACUUGCUGCUUCGAUGACUGCUAAAAUGUAGCGUCACCUACCAGGUGUCUUCACAUGCAAUCUCUCCCUGAAUGUGCAAUGUCUUUCCUGCUCAAGAGUGCAGCGUCCUUCACAGUGGAUUGGUUCCUCUUUCGGAGCAGAGGGAGAUAUCUUGGCCAUUUUCCAGGAUGAGACUGAAGUCUAUUCAUGCUGAAGAGACAGACCUUUCUCUUGGUAGAGGGAAAUGCUUGGAUCUGUGUAACACUGAGAGCUGGUGGGUUUCUCUUUCUGACUACGUAGACCUUCCUGAAAGACGUUACACAUUAGGAAGUGAAAGUCUAGAGCCUUCCCCCUCCACCCCCCAAUCCCUUCUGUCAGUUUAAAGAACUACUUUUUUCUUGGUCAUGUAAACAUUUUAUUUUACAUAUUCAUGGGAGAAUGAAGAUGAUUAAGAUCUGUUGUUCCCUGUGCCAUGGUGUCAGUUAUCUCAUUGUUUUGUAUAGUAUUAGCAGGUAUUGGAUGUCGCACCUUUAGCAGGUUUUUAAGAAUCUUGAACAGACUUCUGAUCAUAGAAUAUGUUUUUCUUUGUGACCACAACAUUGGGAUAAAGGUCUUAGAGACAGUUUGCUUCAAAACAAACAGAACUGAAAGCCCUUCUGCCCCUCAGGACAUACAAGUCCGAUUUCUACUUACGGAAUGAUAUAUAACAUAAGCCAACUAGUGAAAAUCUAGUAAAGCCCACUGUUGGUUUGUUCCCACUGUGGAACAUGCAAAUGUUCCACAAAACAUCUUAUGCAAAUGCCAAAUCAAAGCCCAAAAUAAUGGUGUUCGAUGGAAAACUAGGACUGAUUAUUUUUAACUAUUUACCUGAAACUUUUUCUAUUCUUGUAGAUUUAUCUAUUAUUAUGCUUACAUGGGCACUUAAUCUCAAGAAUUUUGAUGGAAUUCUAAGGAAAUCUUACAUUUUGUUCUGGUAGUUUUGCACAGCUAUUCUCAGGGCCCUGAGUGCACCAACAGGCUCUGUAAUACCUUCUUCCUCUCAUAGGCACUUAGCUGCUUGUACUUAGUGCCAGCUCUGAUACUGUGCAACUAUGUAACCUUGGAUCAGGCUGCUGAGAAAAGAGCUGUGUGGAAAAAGAGCUGUGAGAGGCUUUGUCAGCCCUUCCCCACUGGAUCUGGGAAAUGCAUUUAAGCUCACGUCCUUGCCUUGGUCCUUGCCUGACCUAUGCUGUAGGUAUUCCUUUUCCUAGCCAUGUACCUUCCUGACCUGCUGACCUGACUUCAUGGCUUGAUCUUGAACUUCAUCACUAUGGGCUUGUCUGAUGAUCCCGACUCUUGGCUGGACUAGUGUACUGUCUUGGAACCUGUUCUGCUCUUCUGGCUGGGGUAUUGUGGGACUGUGCCGCUUGCUGGUGAGGGUGCCACCCCUGCCUACCUUGCUUUUACCCUCGGCUGCUGGCUCACGUUCUGUUGCGGUGCAGCCCACUCUUGCAGCUCCCUAACAACUGCUGCCAUAAACUGAUUUAGGUAAAAGGACAGUUAUCUCCAUUUUUUAACAUAUUUGAAUUCUUGAAUUCUUAGAAAAUGAACAUUCCCCUGAAAAAGCGCCCACUGAAACCAGCCCGUGUUCUUGAUAGAUCUCUGACUUGGUGUGAUCAUCUGAUAAAUGUGACUGCCAAAAUCAAGUCCUACUUACCAGAUAAACUCCCAUGGCUUGCCUGAGGAACUAAUUUUUGCUCUAUCUUGGACACCUGGACUUGCUCUCUGCUACUUGGCAGCAGAAUACCAUCAUCCAGACUGGCCUUAUUUAUUGCAUAUUCAGUGGAUUGACUCAUAGCUCAAUCUGGCCAUCCAUCAGAGACUGCUACCAACACCUGUGCUACCCCUGCCAGGGCACAUUCUCUGGGCAUAUACUUCUGCCUAAAUGGGAGAAAAAUGUUGAAAGCUUGCUUGUCUGGCCCGGGGAAGAAUUUAGCCCUUUUCCAUUUAAUAUGAAAUCCCAACAUUCUAUGUUGACUUCAACAUGACUUUUCAAAGGCAUUCUGCUAAGGUUAAAAAAUAGUCCCAGCUACCAAUAACUAAACAUCAUCAUAUUUAAAAGUGCACAGUUUGGCAGUCAGGCUUUGUUUUUCUUCCUUGAGUUUCUCCUCCAUCAAGAUCUGUGCUUUAUCAGCAGACACAGAUGGAAGGAUUUGGAAAGAUCUGAAUUACACCUGUCAGUUUCAAUUCAUAUCACAAAAGAUUGCUUCUCACUUCAACUUUUACUUUUUAAUUAAUUUAUUAGUUGCUGAAUCUUCUUUCAAUAAAGCAAAAUAUAUUAAACUAUUCAGGGAGCAAGGACUAUGUUCAUGGAAAGCUAUCUUAAGAAAGCUCUGCUAUAACCAUUCUGAAGGCAGUUGGAAACUCUAACAUUGCUUUGAAAAGCAGACAAAAAAAGAAGCCUUCUUCAAAUUGUUG